AGAGAGUGGUGCAGGAGGAGGAGACUCCAAGGGAUGAAGACAUAAAUGGAAAGGAAAAAGCUGAAAGAUGUGCUAAUUGUGGAGCUGCAUAACCAUAAACAGAUUCACUGAAUUAACAAAAAUGGGAAACCCUGAGUCCAAACCUCUGCCAUCUCCAGAAUUUGAUACUCCAUGGCGGACAAUGAACUGGGGGAAAAAAGAUGAAAUUGAGCAGAAACUGAGGAACUUUAGACUCCACAACCCAAAUGUUCAGUUUGUAAGAAUUCUUCUUGUUGGUGAAGUCGGGGCAGGAAAGUCUAGUUUCAUAAACUCAGUCAAUAAUGCUUUUCAAAGAAGAAUCACCUCUAGAGCUCUUGUUGAUGGAACAGGUGGAACCAGUUUCACAAAAGUAUACAAAACCUAUCACAUUGAAGGAGAGGAUGGUUCCCCCUUACCCUUUGUCCUCAAUGAUAUCAUGGGGAUUGAGGCCACUCAAUCUGGUGCACAUGAAAAGGAUAUUAUCAAAGCUUUACAUGGGUUUCUUGAGGAAGGAUACAAAUUAAAUCCUGCGUCCCCGGUGUCUCCAAAUGACCCUGGCCAUAGGAGCAACCCAGCUCUUGAGGAUCAAACCUUCUGCCUGGUCAACAUCAUCGCAGCUGACAAAGUAUCACUGAUGCAUAAUGAGGUCAUUGUAAAGCUGAAAAAAAUCCGUCAGGCAGCAACAGAUCUGAAUAUUCCACAAGUAGUCAUCGUGACACGACCAGAUUUUGCAUGUCCACUGGUUAAAGAUAAACUACAGAAGAUCUACACCAGCAAGAAGAUCAAAGAAAAGCAAGACAAGCACUUUAAACACAAGGCCAAGGCAAUGCUGAGGAGCGCGAAUUGUUUUGCAAUGUGCUGUACAUCCUUUUUCAGAUAUGAGGAAAAGGAAGAAGUUUAAAAAAAAAAAUGUUGUUGCCGCUAAAGUUUAAAGGGUGUGGAAGGGCUUUGGAGAACAAACAGUCCCAUUAUUUACACACUUGGAUAAGAACAGCAGAGACAGAGGAGACUUACCCUGAUGGCCACACAGGGCAACCUCACAAACAUGGAUGUCACACACUUCAGAGAAGAAGAGAAAAAGAGACAGAGGUGAUGAUCACCUUUUAGGACCCCUGAGGUCUUCCAAAGUAGUGAUUCCAUCAAGUUGGUAAUUUGAGUGUUGCGCUCUACUGUCUGUCUGAGACUGAAAAAUGAGAUUGACAGGUAAGAGUUCUCUCUCUCUAAGAAGAAUCUGUUCAUCAUCAUCAUCAUUGAGUUCAGAGAGAGAGAGGGGGGGCUUGUGUGUGUGUGUGUGUGUGUGUGUGUGUGUGUGUGUGUUUGUGUCAACUGCACAAUGAUAAAUCACAUGAGAAGUGUGUUUAAUCGCUGAACCCUGUUUGAUCACUGAAUGAAAAGCAUAGCGGCGGUUGUCAUGGAAAACUGUGUGAGGCUCGUUGAGGGACAGUUCUGGGGCACGUUCAAAUCUGAUGAAAGCCAAAAGGGGGGAAACGGUGCUGUUUAGGAAAACAAGCUAAUGAAGAGCUGAAAACAGACCUACAGUAGCACUACAGAGGCAGCAGUGUCAUUAGUGGAGAAGUAAUGCUGAUUCGUCACACACACAAACACACUGAGAAAUAAAUCCUUAAAAUCUUAAUUUUAAGCCAGAUGACUUGAAUAUGGAAGUGUGUGUGUAUGUGUGUGUGCGCGUUUUACUGACUAGUUUCUGUCUUAGUGAGUUGGUCCCGCAAAUCUAUUGACUUUAAAUUGGGCGGUAUUCAUAUGGAAGGUCCAUUUUUUGUACAACUGGUAAGAGGAAGAGGAAGUGUAUAAGGUUAAACACAUACUACCACUGUAACCGUGUUUAGAUACGAAAGGUUGAUCACCUGUGUAAAACCAAGAGCUUCUUAAGGUUAGUAUUAAAAGCAAUAUGAUUCUCUAAAAAAUCCCUGACUUGAAAGGUGUAUUAUAGCAAUUUUUGACUAUUGCUUAAAUGUAACUCGAAGGAUUUCUACUUAUUUGUGUGUAUUUUCUUAUAACUCUGUAUUUGUUUAGACAUGGCAAUGGCAUUGAAAAUGAGAAAUGAUAUUUAAGGACUGAUAAUGGCCUUGGCAGACAAAGAAAAUCUACAAGUAGAAGUCAAACCUGGCAAUAGGGGCAGGAAUUGAAUUUGUCUCUUGUGCUGUUGGACUACGCAUUGGUGGCUAUCCUGGUGCCCUGGCAGGUGCUGCUGUGGGAGGUGUAAUCAUGUUAUAAUUACAAUGUGCUGUUGAAAUGGCCACUACGGUCACCUGACAAGACACCUAAGGAUUUUGUUCUAUGGUGUUAUGUGAAGGGACCGGUCCUUAUCCCCGCUCUCCCUACAAGCCUAGAGGAAUUUACUCAGAGAAUCAUUUAGGUGCUGGAGAAUUUUACGCAAGAUAUGCUACUGUGUGUUUGGCAGGAGCUGGACUACUGGCUUGCGUGUGUCGUGUCACAGUUAUAAUUACAAUGUGUUGUUGAACUGGCCACUACGGUCACCUGACUUGACACCUUUUUCCAUGGAGUUAGGCCCCAGAUGCCAACAAAAAACAGCGAGCUCCACCGCCACCAAGGCCUGUGGCCCCAGCUUGCCCUCCCCUACUGUGAGAGCCCUCCAACGCUGCUGGGCUCAAACCCCCCUCCUCUAUCAGGUCUGAAGCUAGAUAGAAGCUCUCAGUGAUGUUUGUCGGGUCCCCGUAUGAUAGCAAUAUCAUUCACAAAUGUUUACAGAACAAGCAGGAACAGUAGAAAGUCUAAAGCCUUCUCAAGCCAUACAGCUGACCCAUCUAAUCUACGACCUAAUAUGCAUCAAAGUAAGAUCAGCGUGGG